CAGUAGCCCCGAUGGCAGCAAGUAUCCCAAGCUUUUGGACGUGGAUACUGCGAACAGCGGGAGAAAAU
rnacentral:misc_RNA from 1 species